AUAGAUAUCUGAUAUGUGGACCAUGUGUCCACAAUGAUACUAAAUUUAUUUUUUGUGGGGGAGGGAUCAUCACAAUGGCUUGCCAUUGGGUCCCUUAGGUGUCGCUUGGGCGUUGCACUACAGCCCAGGCAGGCGCACCCCAA
rnacentral:ncRNA from 2 species